UUUCAGAUAUGAAACCGGAUUGACUCUAAAAUUAGCAACCUCGAUCUCACUCACCAUGGAGACCUGUGAAUCUCUGCAACACAGAGGGGAUGUCUGUGACGUCUUUGUGAAGGUGAGGAAAUGGAAGCACA